GUGUUGGUGGUGAUAGUCGCAGGGUCACGCCCGGUUGUCCUUUUCGAACCCGGUUGCUAAGUCUGUGGGCGCUGAUGGUACUGCACCUGGGAGGGUGUGGGAGAGUAGGUUACUGCCAGCAU
rnacentral:rRNA from 1 species